CAGUCGCCGCGGGAAUACGUAGGGUGCAAGCGUUAAUCGGAAUUACUGGGCGUAAAGCGUGCGCAGGCGGUGUUGUAAGACUGAUGUGAAAUCCCCGGGCUCAACCUGGGAACUGCAUUGGUGACUGCAACGCUGGAGUGCGGCAGAGGGGGAUGGAAUUCCGCGUGUAGCAGUGAAAUGCGUAGAUAUGCGGAGGAACACCGAUGGCGAAGGCAAUCCCCUGGGCCUGCACUGACGCUCAUGCACGAAAGCUAGGGGAGCAAACAGGAUUAGAUACCCCCGUAGUCCCUGUCUCUUAUAC
rnacentral:rRNA from 1 species